rnacentral:rRNA from 1 species
AUUGAACGNNNGCGGCAGGCCUAACACAUGCAAGUCGAGCGGUAACAGGGGGUGCUUGCACCCCGCUGACGAGCGGCGGACGGGUGAGUAAUGCAUAGGAAUCUGCCCGAUAGUGGGGGAUAACCUGGGGAAACCCAGGCUAAUACCGCAUACGUCCUACGGGAGAAAGGGGGCUUCGGCUCGCGCUACCGGAUGAGCCUAUGUCGGAUUAGCUAGUUGGUGGGGUAAUGGCCCACCAAGGCAACGAUCCGUAGCUGGUCUGAGAGGAUGAUCAGCCACAUCGGGACUGAGACACGGCCCGAACUCCUACGGGAGGCAGCAGUGGGGAAUAUUGGACAAUGGGGGGAACCCUGAUCCAGCCAUGCCGCGUGUGUGAAGAAGGCCCUCGGGUUGUAAAGCACUUUCAGUGAGGAAGAACGCCUGGUGGUUAAUACCCAUCAGGAAAGACAUCACUCACAGAAGAAGCACCGGCUAACUCCGUGCCAGCAGCCGCGGUAAUACGGAGGGUGCGAGCGUUAAUCGGAAUUACUGGGCGUAAAGCGCGCGUAGGUGGCUUGAUAAGCCGGUUGUGAAAGCCCCGGGCUCAACCUGGGAACGGCAUCCGGAACUGUCAAGCUAGAGUGCAGGAGAGGAAGGUAGAAUUCCCGGUGUGGCGGUGAAAUGCGUAGAGAUCGGGAGGAAUACCAGUGGCGAAGGCGGCCUUCUGGACUGACACUGACACUGAGGUGCGAAAGCGUGGGUAGCAAACAGG